rnacentral:rRNA from 1 species
GGCCUCAUACAUGCAAGUCGAGCGGUCCUUCGGGACAGCGGCGAACGGGUUAGCAACGCGUGGGAACGUGCCCUUUAGUACGGAAUAGCCAUUGGAAACGAUGAUUAAUACCGUAUACGCCCCAAGGGGGAAAGAUUUAUCGCUAAAGGAUCGGCCCGCGUUAGAUUAGGUAGUUGGUAGGGUAAUGGCCUACCAAGCCGACGAUCUAUAGCUGGUUUGAGAGGAUGAUCAGCAACACUGGGACUGAGACACGGCCCAGACUUCUACGGAAGGCAGCAGUAGGGAAUCUUGGACAAUGGGCGAAAGCCUGAUCCAGCCAUGCCGCGUGAGUGAUGAAGGCCCUAGGGUUGUAAAGCUCUUUCGCCAGGGAAGAUAAUGACGGUACCUGGUAAAGAAACCCCGGCUAACUCCGUGCCAGCAGCCGCGGUAAUACGGAGGGGGUUAGCGUUGUUCGGAAUUACUGGGCGUAAAGCGCACGUAGGCGGAUUAAUAAGUCAGGGGUGAAAUCCCGAGGCUCAACCUCGGAACUGCCUUUGAUACUGUUAGUCUUGAGUUCGAGAGAGGUGAGUGGAAUUCCGAG